CCACCUUCAAUCCUUGGCCUCCAACUCCAUUUCUUGUCGAGCGUUUGCAGAGAAAUCGAACAACUUUGGUCGAUUGUAAUCUCAACGUAGUCUGAUUCUCUGCAACUGCAAUGAAAUUUUGUUGUAUAGUUGAUUUUGGCUUAUGGCUUCUUUUGUUUCCAUGAAUGUUCAAUUGAUACUUUUUCUUGGUUUUAAUCAGUUAGAUUACCGCAGAAA